rnacentral:rRNA from 1 species
GGGUUGUGAGGUUAAGCGACUAAGCGUACACGGUGGAUGCCCUGGCAGUCAGAGGCGAUGAAGGACGUGCUAAUCUGCGAUAAGCGUCGGUAAGGUGAUAUGAACCGUUAUAACCGGCGAUUUCCGAAUGGGGAAACCCAGUGUGUUUCGACACACUAUCAUUAACUGAAUCCAUAGGUUAAUGAGGCGAACCGGGGGAACUGAAACAUCUAAGUACCCCGAGGAAAAGAAAUCAACCGAGAUUCCCCCAGUAGCGGCGAGCGAACGGGGAGGAGCCCAGAGCCUGAAUCAGUGUGUGUGUUAGUGGAAGCGUCUGGAAAGGCGCGCGAUACAGGGUGACAGCCCCGUACACAAAAAUGCACAUGCUGUGAGCUCGAUGAGUAGGGCGGGACACGUGGUAUCCUGUCUGAAUAUGGGGGGACCAUCCUCCAAGGCUAAAUACUCCUGACUGACCGAUAGUGAACCAGUACCGUGAGGGAAAGGCGAAAAGAACCCCGGCGAGGGGAGUGAAAAAGAACCUGAAACCGUGUACGUACAAGCAGUGGGAGCACGCUUAGGCGUGUGACUGCGUACCUUUUGUAUAAUGGGUCAGCGACUUAUAUUCUGUAGCAAGGUUAACCGAAUAGGGGAGCCGAAGGGAAACCGAGUCUUAACUGGGCGUUAAGUUGCAGGGUAUAGACCCGAAACCCGGUGAUCUAGCCAUGGGCAGGUUGAAGGUUGGGUAACACUAACUGGAGGACCGAACCGACUAAUGUUGAAAAAUUAGCGGAUGACUUGUGGCUGGGGGUGAAAGGCCAAUCAAACCGGGAGAUAGCUGGUUCUCCCCGAAAGCUAUUUAGGUAGCGCCUCGUGAACUCAUCUCCGGGGGUAGAGCACUGUUUCGGCAAGGGGGUCAUCCCGACUUACCAACCCGAUGCAAACUGCGAAUACCGGAGAAUGUUAUCACGGGAGACACACGGCGGGUGCUAACGUCCGUCGUGAAGAGGGAAACAACCCAGACCGCCAGCUAAGGUCCCAAAGUCAUGGUUAAGUGGGAAACGAUGUGGGAAGGCCCAGACAGCCAGGAUGUUGGCUUAGAAGCAGCCAUCAUUUAAAGAAAGCGUAAUAGCUCACUGGUCGAGUCGGCCUGCGCGGAAGAUGUAACGGGGCUAAACCAUGCACCGAAGCUGCGGCAGCGACGCUUAUGCGUUGUUGGGUAGGGGAGCGUUCUGUAAGCCUGUGAAGGUGUGCUGUGAGGCAUGCUGGAGGUAUCAGAAGUGCGAAUGCUGACAUAAGUAACGAUAAAGCGGGUGAAAAGCCCGCUCGCCGGAAGACCAAGGGUUCCUGUCCAACGUUAAUCGGGGCAGGGUGAGUCGACCCCUAAGGCGAGGCCGAAAGGCGUAGUCGAUGGGAAACAGGUUAAUAUUCCUGUACUUGGUGUUACUGCGAAGGGGGGACGGAGAAGGCUAUGUUGGCCGGGCGACGGUUGUCCCGGUUUAAGCGUGUAGGCUGGUUUUCCAGGCAAAUCCGGAAAAUCAAGGCUGAGGCGUGAUGACGAGGCACUACGGUGCUGAAGCAACAAAUGCCCUGCUUCCAGGAAAAGCCUCUAAGCAUCAGGUAACAUCAAAUCGUACCCCAAACCGACACAGGUGGUCAGGUAGAGAAUACCAAGGCGCUUGAGAGAACUCGGGUGAAGGAACUAGGCAAAAUGGUGCCGUAACUUCGGGAGAAGGCACGCUGAUAUGUAGGUGAAGUCCCUUGCGGAUGGAGCUGAAAUCAGUCGAAGAUACCAGCUGGCUGCAACUGUUUAUUAAAAACACAGCACUGUGCAAACACGAAAGUGGACGUAUACGGUGUGACGCCUGCCCGGUGCCGGAAGGUUAAUUGAUGGGGUCAGCGCAAGCGAAGCUCUUGAUCGAAGCCCCGGUAAACGGCGGCCGUAACUAUAACGGUCCUAAGGUAGCGAAAUUCCUUGUCGGGUAAGUUCCGACCUGCACGAAUGGCGUAAUGAUGGCCAGGCUGUCUCCACCCGAGACUCAGUGAAAUUGAACUCGCUGUGAAGAUGCAGUGUACCCGCGGCAAGACGGAAAGACCCCGUGAACCUUUACUAUAGCUUGACACUGAACAUUGAGCCUUGAUGUGUAGGAUAGGUGGGAGGCUUUGAAGUGUGGACGCCAGUCUGCAUGGAGCCGACCUUGAAAUACCACCCUUUAAUGUUUGAUGUUCUAACGUUGACCCGUAAUCCGGGUUGCGGACAGUGUCUGGUGGGUAGUUUGACUGGGGCGGUCUCCUCCUAAAGAGUAACGGAGGAGCACGAAGGUUGGCUAAUCCUGGUCGGACAUCAGGAGGUUAGUGCAAUGGCAUAAGCCAGCUUGACUGCGAGCGUGACGGCGCGAGCAGGUGCGAAAGCAGGUCAUAGUGAUCCGGUGGUUCUGAAUGGAAGGGCCAUCGCUCAACGGAUAAAAGGUACUCCGGGGAUAACAGGCUGAUACCGCCCAAGAGUUCAUAUCGACGGCGGUGUUUGGCACCUCGAUGUCGGCUCAUCACAUCCUGGGGCUGAAGUAGGUCCCAAGGGUAUGGCUGUUCGCCAUUUAAAGUGGUACGCGAGCUGGGUUUAGAACGUCGUGAGACAGUUCGGUCCCUAUCUGCCGUGGGCGCUGGAGAACUGAGGGGGGCUGCUCCUAGUACGAGAGGACCGGAGUGGACGCAUCACUGGUGUUCGGGUUGUCAUGCCAAUGGCACUGCCCGGUAGCUAAAUGCGGAAGAGAUAAGUGCUGAAAGCAUCUAAGCACGAAACUUGCCCCGAGAUGAGUUCUCCCUGACUCCUUGAGAGUCCUGAAGGAACGUUGAAGACGACGACGUUGAUAGGCCGGGUGUGUAAGCGCAGCGAUGCGUUGAGCUAACCGGUACUAAUGAACCGUGAGGCUUAACCUUACAACGCCGAAG